GGUGGUCAUAGCUCAGUUGGUUAGAGCGUCGGAUUGUGGUUCCGAAGGUCGCGGGUUCGAAUCCCGUUUUCCACCC
rnacentral:tRNA from 2 species